UCAGUCAUUGAAGUGCUUCUGU
rnacentral:miRNA from 1 species